AUUGAACGCUGGCGGCAGGCUUAACACAUGCAAGUCGAACGAGUGGCGGACGGGUGAGUAAUCCUUGGGAAUCUAGCUUCUGUAGGGGUAUCACUACGGGAAACUGUAGCUAAUACCGCGUCCCAUAGGAUGAGCCAAAGUGGGAUUAGCGAGUAGGUGGGGUAAAGGCUCACCUAGGCGACGAGCUCUAGCUGGUCUGAGAGGAUGAUCAGCCACACUGGGACUGAGACACGGACAAGACUCGUACGGGAGGCAGAAGUGGGGAAUAUUGUACAAUGGGCGCAAGGCUGAUGAAGCCAUGCCGCGUGUAUGAAGAAGGGCUUAGAGUUGUAAAGUACUUUCAGCGGGGAGGCGUUACCCGCAGAAGAAGCACCGGCUAACUCCGUGCCAGCAGCCGCGGUAAUAC
rnacentral:rRNA from 1 species